rnacentral:sRNA from 1 species
GCCAGGCAUGGUGGUGCACACCUGUAAUCCCAGCAGCUUGGGAGGCUGAGGCAGAAGGAUCACAAGUUCUAGGCCAGCCUCAACAACUUAGUGAGACUCCAUGUGACUUAGUGAGACUUGGUCUCAA